CUAGAUAUUCACCCCUGCGUAAAUCUAUGAGAACACUCAUGACCGUGUAAAGUGGACCAAAUAAGGCUGCAUAAAUGACAAAUCUCUUAAGCUUGUUCCAACCAUGUUGUGUGCCCUUGUCACUACGGCUCUGAGUCUUAAGAACAUUGUGAGUUUUAUUUAGCCUCAGUUGGAUGUUAUGUUUCUGGCUGUGCCUUCUGCAAUUCCUUUGAUCCUUCACCUGAGUGUUGCUUAUGCUUUUGUGCAUUGGAGAAGUUUUGGGCUGAAAGGAGCUAUUUUGGUUGCUUUCAUUUCGUUGUGGGUGGCUUUUCUGGCUAUUGUCAUUCGUAUGUUUCAGUCUAAAAAAUAUGAACUCACACGGGGAGGAUUCUCUGUUGAAACUUUCAGUUACAUAUUUGUCAAUUUGGAACUUGCUUUGCCUUCUGCUGCAAUGGUUUGGUUAGUGCUUUGUGCUCGACUUUUGAACAUUUUGUCUCCUUUGUUCUGUUGCUUUAAAAUCUGAUUUGUUUAUGUUAUAUCAGCAUAUAGAGAAUUAAUGUAUAAAUCUUUUUAUUUUACGUUUU